rnacentral:rRNA from 1 species
UACAGAGGGUGCGAGCGUUAAUCGGAAUUACUGGGCGUAAAGCGCACGUAGUCGGCUUUGCAAGUCGGUUGUGAAAUCCCCGGGCUCAACCUGGGAACUGCAUCCGAGACUGCAUUGCUAGAGUAUGGGAGAGGAAAGCGGAAUUUCUGGUGUAGCAGUGAAAUGCGUAGAUAUCAGAAGGAACAUCAGUGGCGAAGGCGGCUUUCUGGACCGUAACUGACGCUGAGACACGAAAGCGUGGGGAGCAAACAGG